ACCCUAUUUUGUUGCCUAUAAAAGGCAACCCCAAUGCCUUCUUUAACAAGUUUUACGGACCCUGGAAAUUUCAAAAUACUUUCGGACAUCAGAUUUCCUUUGCUCUUUCUUUAACAAAGUUUGGGGAACCCCAAAAAUUCCCCCAAAAUCCUCUUUCAGUCCCAGCUUGAUUUUAAAUCUCAAAUGAGUAGAAAGUUCAUAAACUCUUCCCAUAGAUCUUAAUUUAUUGACACAAAACCGAAAAACAACAAAAACUAUUCAAAAAAUAAAAAAUAGACUGUUUCAUUAGAUACUUUAGGUUAAAUUUCAGUUUUCUGGUGGUAAUUCCUAUUUUCCUAGUUCGACAUUUGGUUGUGGAGGCCUCAGAUUGUCACUGGUUCAAUUUUGAGUAAAAUUCGGUGUUGAUAGAUUGAACUUGGCAGAGAAUUAGUCAGUCGAUGGUUUCAGAAAGUUUUCCCUGGGUGUUUUCUAGUCAGAUUUAAGGUUUAGUCGAGUUUGUGGAUUUACUUCGGAUUGCUGGGUGUUUUUCUGGUUGCCUGAGAUGAGUGCAAGUUUGUUUGACGGUCAGUCGAGUUCUUUGUGGUCGAGUUUCCGCUUCCUAUUUGAUUCUGGAUUGAUUACUGAUUUGAAAUCACUUCUGGGCUGUAGAUCUUUGCUUAUCAUUGCUGCUGAUCUCCUCCUCUGUUUCUUCUUCUUCUUCUGUUUCACAUUACCAGGUACAUGUUCUGUAACUCUCCAGUUUUUGGAAAGGAAGUAAAGUGCUGAUUGUAGCACAUCAUUGAAUUCGCGUCGUUGCUGUUUGGUUUUCAUGUGUAGAACAUUCACGUCCGCUCAAAAAUUAGUGUUAAUUGUAUAAGUAGAAUUGUCUGGCUGUAUUGCUUUGCAAAUCGUUUGUGCUUUCACAGUUAUAAUUAGAAUUGCUAGAUUCAAAGCAUGUUUAGAUUUGAUGUCGAAAUUAGCAAGUAUUAAGAAAAUAUUAGGAGUUAGUUGUGGCUUUUAUUCAAAGCAUGUUUAGAUUUGAUGUCGAAAUUAGCAAGUAUUAAGAAAAUGUUAGGAGCAAGUAUUAAGAAAAUAUUAGGAGUUAGUUGUGGCUUUUAUUCAAAGCAUGUUUAGAUUUGAUGUCGAAAUUAGCAAGUAUUAAGAAAAUAUUAGGAGUUAGUUGUGGCUUUGUUUUUUUUGUUUUACAGAUUUCAAACCUGAACACUUAUUCAGUAGAUGGUAAUAAAAUCUAGAUGAUUUGGGUAACUUGUAAUCAAAUGGGCUAUGAACUAUAUUCAUGUAGUCCGUUUCAAUUGUGCUGGUGGGUUAAUUCAAGCAUUUGUGACAAUUAGCCUUGCCAGUUCUAGUAUUCGAUAUCGAGAUACACAAAUAGCACUGAUUGAUUAGGCAAAAUCACGUACACUAAGCAUUCUCCGAAAUAUAAAAAGAAAAAUAGAGGCCAAAUCACUUGACGGGAUUCGACUGGUAUUUUGGGUUAGGCAAUUUUGUUUGAAUAAAAUUUAGGCCAUAUUUUAUCUUUGCCUGCGUCUGGGCAGACCUUGUUUUGUACAAGUGAGUUUGAAAUGUGCAAGGCCCAGUAGUAAGGCCUUCAUGCUGAAAGCAUUGGUGAAUCACUGUUGUCUAAACCCAAUGCUAUAUUCGAAUAUCGUGGUAAUGACCCAUGGACGUAUUAAUCAUUUAAGUUUUUUUUCUUUUUCUUUUAGAGACAAACAAAUGUAAAACAAUUGUGUGGCCCUCAUAUUAAUUAUGUAUUGAUCCUUAGAUUCUGAGGUGUGCCGUUUAACUAAAUUUUAUGGCCCUCACAAAUUGCAAAUGCAAAAUUACUUUCGCACGCUAGUUAAUAAUAUUACUUCCAAAACUCGGGUGCGCAUUGAUGCGAAGCAAAUCCAAAUCUCGACGAAGUCGAAAUGUGUUCAUAACCACAUGUGCCUUGAUGGUGACGUGGUUUGAAAUGCAUUAUCACGAUGUUGUAAUUCUAAUAAAAUAAAUAAUGAUAGGAAUAGAUUCACAUGUUGAGACGAGCCUCACCGAACAAAAUAAAUAUGGGGUCCUCAGUAAUUGAUUAUUAAAUAUGAUUAAAAUUCGGAGGGGCCAUCUAGCGAAUUUCAACGGCCUUUCCCAAACGAUAUUACGUUAGAACCUUUAAGCGCGAUUUAAUUAAAUUAUUUCCUUAAAAUCGGGUGCGCAAUGAUGCGACCCAAAUCCUAAUCUCGACGAAGUCAAAAUGUAUUGACGGACAUGGGUGCCUUGAGGGCGACUUGGUCGGAGACAUGUUUUCACGACGUCGCAAGUCUUUUAAAAUAAGUAAUGGUAAAAGAGGUAUAUAAAUAAAAGGGCACAUAAGCUAGCAUACGUUAAAAUCAGAUAAAAUCAAAUACACCAGUUAAGCGACCGUGCUAGAAUCCGGAACCCGGGAAUGCCUAACACCUUCUCUCAGGUUAACAGUAUUCCUUACUCGGAUUUCUGGUUCGUAGACUGUAACAGAGUCAUAAUCUUCCUUGGUUCGGGAUUCAAAUCGGUGACUUGGGACACCAUAAAUCUCCCAAGUAGUGGCUCUGAAUAUUUAAUAACCAAAUCCCGUUCUGAUUGUCCUUUAAGUGGAAAAACUCCUUUACGCCCCUUUGCGGGGGUUUAUAGCGAAAAAGGAGGUGUGACAGCUCUGGCGACUCUGCUGGGGAGAAGAACCCAAAACUUUUUGUUCAGGGUUCAGAAUUCGAGCUUAGAUAAAUUGUUGUAUUUUUUCAUAUCUGAUACCUACAUGCUUUGUGCUUAAUGUGCUAAUUGUUACCGCUUUGAUAUUAUCUGAGCUGUAUAUAAACUGUGCCGAUACCCUUCUCUCUCUACCUCCGGGGAUGUGCUUACUGGUUGAGACUCCCUAUUCUGUUAGUGUCAUACCCUGAAAUAAUAAGGAGGCCGGAUAAGUUACUAAGCCGCCUGACCACGCGGCUCACCGGUAAGUUGCCCCCUCCUUGAUUCGAGUUGUCCAGCCGAGUACACUUUCUAUGACACAGACCUAGGUUCUGAUCAUAGAAUAACUAGAACGGGUCACCGGUAAGUUGCUCCCUCCUCGAUUUGAGUUGUCCGCUCGGGUAAACUGUCUAGAACACCGACCCAGGUUUUGAACAUAGAAUAACUUGACUUCAUGCCAGAUCCCUANNNNNNNNNNNNNNNNNNNNNNNNNNNNNNNNNNNNNNNNNNNNNNNNNNNNNNNNNNNNNNNNNNNNNNNNNNNNNNNNNNNNNNNNNNNNNNNNNNNNNNNNNNNNNNNNNNNNNNNNNNNNNNNNNNNNNNNNNNNNNNNNNNNNNNNNNNNNNNNNNNNNNNNNNNNNNNNNNNNNNNNNNNNNNNNNNNNNNNNNNNNNNNNNNNNNNNNNNNNNNNNNNNNNNNNNNNNNNNNNNNNNNNNNNNNNNNNNNNNNNNNNNNNNNAAAAUGUUUUAUUUUUAUUAGUUUGUUUUACUAAAAAGCAAAAGAAAAAUAGAAAAAAAGAGUUUUUGUUUUAUUUUUGGAGAAUUGGUUUUCGAAAAAAGAAAGAAAGGAGGCUUUAUUUUAGUUUGGAAAAUAGGUUAUUUUAUUGUUUGUUGGAAAUGGAACAGAAAAAAAAAUCAUUUUUUGUCUUAUUUUCAAAAAUAAAAAAAGAAAAAUAGUUUGUCUUGCCAUGAAAAAAUAAAAAUGAAAAAGUCCUGUUUUUAAAAGUAGUUAUUUUAUUUGAAAAAUGUCAAAAAUGAAAAUGAAAAGAGUGUUGUUUCAAAAAUUAGUUAGUUAAUUUGCCCGAACUAUGCAUGGUUUGAUUCUUGUAGGGCGUGAGAUACGUAGGCAACCCUCAUCGGGUCCAACCUCCUUUUUAAAAAAUAGCCCAAAAUGUCAAAAUUUUAAUUUGUCAUACAUAAACCUGGUGAUGCCGUUUUUGUCAAAAAUAGCCAAAUGUUCCCAAACGGGGCGCUGGAAGGCUGACUUUGCAUAAACAGCCACCUUUGGUCAACUUUUGAUUUUUGACCCUCACAGCCUUAAAAUCAUCGUCUCGAGGCGCUGGAAGGCCGUGUUUACAAUACCGGGUCAGUUAUUGUUUUUGGGUUUGUAUUUCUUUUGAUUAGAGUAUAUGGGUCAUUUGAUUUUCGAAUCUGUAUUUCAUCGUUAAGUUGGUCAGCUUUGUUGUUAUUAUGAAAAUAGAAAAUUCCAAAAAUGUUUUAUUGUCGUUUAUCUUUUAUUUGCAAGAACUACACACAGUCUAAUUCAUGCGGGGUCAUGAUACGUAGGCAAUCUCCAUAAGAUUCGACCACAACCAAAAAAAAUGGAAAAGAAAAUUGAAUAAAGAAAAAUAUAAAAAAUAGAAAAGAUGUUAAUAAUGAGGACCGACUCAACCCGUUCUAACAUGUUUCGUUUUGAAUUGUGAAGAAAGUUGAGGUGGUUGGUUGUGGUAAGAUGGAAACAUAAGAUCCGAGGAAAAUGAUAACUGACAUCGAAGCUGUUAUGAUUGCUCAAGAGACUCAGGGUCAGAGGGUUCAACAAGGGUCUACUGUGGUGGAGGAAAAUAGAACACCAAAACAACAAACGGCCAAAAUGCGUUUAGCAUGGGAAAAUGGCCAGGGACAACCUUGUCAUGAGUCACAAUGCUACACAGCAAGAACACUACCACUCUCCCGAGUACCACUCGUACUCGUUUGAUCUUCCUGAAAACAUCAAGAAGCCUGCCCGAAAGAGGGUACAUGAGGAAAUAGCCCAAGGCGUGAAAAGAUUAGAGCAACGGCUGAAAAACACGCAAGCAAUGGCAGGUCAAGAGAGUGUUGCCUUCAGAGAUCUAUGUAUGUUCCCCGAUGUCCAGUUUCCACCUGGUUUCGAGGUUCCCAAAUUUGCAAAGUACAAUGGACAUGGAGAUCCCAUAGCGCACCUGAAAAGGUAUUGCAACCAAUUGAGAGGUAUGGGAGAAAAUGAACAAUUGCUCAUAACUUAUUUUGGGGAAAGCCUCUCUGGAGUAGCAUCUGAAUGGUUUUUGGAUCAAGACAUUUCUUGCUGAUACAUCUGGGAUGACAUGGCACGGGCCUUUGUCAAACAAUUUCAGUACUACAUUGACGUCGCCCCAUACCGCAUUUCCCUUUCUAACCUGAAAAAGAAACCAACUAAAAGAUUCAGGGAAUAUGCCAUUAAAUUGAGAGAGAAAGCAGCUAGAGCUAAGCCACCCAUGGAUGACCAUGAGUUAAUCAUUAUCUUUAUAAAGGCUCAAGAGCCAGAUUAUUAUCAAUACAUGGCGUCUGCAGUGGGUAAAUCCUUCCCAGAAGCAAUCAAUAUGGGAGAAAUGGUGGAGAACGGUCAUAAGACAGGCAGAAUUAUAAGUCAAACAGCUCUCAAAGCCGCAGCUCAGGCUGUCAAAAUUGAAUCUGGUAACACGAAUGAGAGGGAUAAAGAAAUUAUGAUGAUAUCAAGUCGAGAAGAGGUCCUAGGAGAACAUCUCGAAGGUAUGUGCAAGCUUAUUAGGUUUUGUAUGACCCCCCUCAGCAUUACUAUCCACCUCUGAACCCCCCAUACUCUAUUGAUCCUUCCCAGUAUGUUGCCCAGCCAUCAAAUCAUCCAAGAAAGCGAGCACGAGUGUCACAAAAUCUCCACCAGCCUCCACAAAAUGUUCAAUUACCUUAUAACCCACAUCCAAGCUAGGGGUAUAGAAGGGAACAAAAGUUGAAAGAUUGUUUUAUACCAAUAAGAGAGUCCUAUGCAAGCUUAGUUGAGAAGUUAAAACAACAUGACAUGAUUGCAUCCAUUCCUCCAAAUCAAGUGAACUGAUGUGCGAGAAGCUUUGACUCCUCUAAAAGGUGUGAAUACCACUCUAAUGCUCUGGGCUCAAUGUGGAGAAUUGUCGGGAUUUGAAAAGGGAAAUAGAAAGAAUGAUUCAAGAAGGGGUAAUUGUGGUUAAUGACACUGAUAGGGAGAAUGCGAAUCCUCUUGGGAACUUGUUGACUGAAGUUGAUGAUAUGGAAGUUGGUAAUGAUCUUGGCAAUAUUGAUGCAGAACUCAGUGGCUAAGAUGCCGAGCUUGGUAAUUGGAAAGAUGCUUCAUCUCUUGGCUACCUGGAGAGAAGUCUUGGUGGAUUAUUUUGUUGUCAUUUCUGUUGUCCGGGUUCGCUUCAUCUCUUGGCUAGUUGGAGAGAAGUCUUGGUGGUUUAUUUUGUUGUCAUUUCAGUUGUCUAGGUUAUUUUCAGGGUUGUAAUCCGGAUAUUAUCUUGUGAAUCAAACCAUUCUAUCCUUUUAUUUGUCUAAUCUUCAUAUCUUAUGUAGUGUUAUCUAGGUUUAUUUUAGGAUUGUACCCCAGUUUGUGUUUCUAGUUGUGUUGUUAAACCCUUUCACCGGCCGUUUAAUACAAUUCUCUGUUUUCUGCCAUCUCUAGUCAUUUUUGUUUAGUUCUCUUUUCUUUCUACAAUUCUUUUCCGCUGGUUCUAGUGACAUGACAUGCACGCAUAAUUCCAACUAAGAUUUUUAAAUCCAUGUUUGUAGGGAAGCAAUGAAACCAUUUUGAAAACGAUGAGGGUAUUUGAGGAAAUAAGAAUAGAUUUGAACGUUGUGAGAUUUUUUGACGCCCGAACCAUGCGAAACUGGGGCAUGCAAAACAUAAAAAAUCCCUGCAAUAGCAAGUUGGCCAAAUUGACAGGGGGAUGGUCGUGGUAAUAAGAGUAAGAGUGUGGCCCAAUGGCAUACUACAUCAAACAGAGGUAGAAAGAAAGUGUUGGAAAUGGUCGUCAAUUCCGAUGCAGUCAAGAGAUACUGUGUAUGGAUUCAUAUUUUGAUUGUAGCUGUUUGUACUUGGAAUAUUUUGAGGGUUGAAGUGAUGAAUGCAUAUUUGUUCUGCUAUCCAAACUCUUUUUUCCAUUUUCACCCCUUUUGAGCCGUUUUAUUUUCUUUCAUAUCCCUCUUUCAGAACUAAUGGCACAAUCAAAGAAAUGCAACUGUCGGAGAUAAGCAAAUGGGAAAAGAUGGAAAAAGGAAAGGAAAGAAAGGAAAAAAAGAAGGAAAAGAAGAAGAGAAAAGGAAAAAGAG
rnacentral:lncRNA from 1 species